AGAACGAACGCUGGCGGCAUGCCUAAUACAUGCAAGUCGAACGAACACUUCGGUGUUAGUGGCGCACGGGUGCGUAACGCGUGGGAAUCUGCCCUUGGGUUCGGAAUAACAGUUGGAAACGACUGCUAAUACCGGAUGAUGACGAAAGUCCAAAGAUUUAUCGCCCAGGGAUGAGCCCGCGUAGGAUUAGCUAGUUGGUGAGGUAAAGGCUCACCAAGGCGACGAUCCUUAGCUGGUCUGAGAGGAUGAUCAGCCACACUGGGACUGAGACACGGCCCAGACUCCUACGGGAGGCAGCAGUAGGGAAUAUUGGACAAUGGGCGCAAGCCUGAUCCAGCAAUGCCGCGUGAGUGAUGAAGGCCUUAGGGUGUAAAGCUCUUUACCCGAGAUGAUAAUGACAGUAUCGGAAGAAUAAGCCCCGGACUAACUCCGCGCCAGCAGCCGC
rnacentral:rRNA from 1 species